AUUGAACGCUGGCGGCAUGCCUUACACAUGCAAGUCGAACGGUAACAGGUUAAGCUGACGAGUGGCGAGCGGGUGAGUAAUGUAUCGGAACGUGCCCAGUCGUGGGGGAUAACUGCUCGAAAGGGCAGCUAAUACCGCAUACGACCUGAGGGUGAAAGCGGGGGAUCGCAAGACCUCGCGCGAUUGGAGCGGCCGAUAUCAGAUUAGGUAGUUGGUGAGGUAAAGGCUCACCAAGCCGACGAUCUGUAGCUGGUCUGAGAGGACGACCAGCCACACUGGGACUGAGACACGGCCCAGACUCCUACGGGAGGCAGCAGUGGGGAAUUUUGGACAAUGGGCGCAAGCCUGAUCCAGCCAUGCCGCGUGCGGGAAGAAGGCCUUCGGGUUGUAAACCGCUUUUGUCAGGGAAGAAAAGGUUCUGGCUAAUACCUGGGACUCAUGACGGUACCUGAAGAAUAAGCACCGGCUAACUACGUG
rnacentral:rRNA from 1 species